rnacentral:rRNA from 1 species
GUAGGGAAUAUUGGACAAUGGGCGAAAGCCUGAUCCAGCAAUGCCGCGUGAGUGAUGAAGGCCUUAGGGUUGUAAAGCUCUUUUACCAGGGAUGAUAAUGACAGUACCUGGAGAAUAAGCUCCGGCUAACUCCGUGCCAGCAGCCGCGGUAAUACGGAGGAAGCUAGCGUUGUUCGGAAUUACUGGGCGUAAAGCGCGCGUAGGCGGCGAUUUAAGUCAGAGGUGAAAGCCCGGGGCUCAACCCCGGAAUAGCCUUUGAGACUGGAUUGCUAGAAUCCUGGAGAGGUGAGUGGAAUUCCGAGUGUAGAGGUGAAAUUCGUAGAUAUUCGGAAGAACACCAGUGGCGAAGGCGGCUCACUGGACAGGUAUUGACGCUGAGGUGCGAAAGCGUGGGGAGCAAACAGGAUUAGAAACCCGGGUAGUCC